GGAAGGAUCAUUACCACACAGCAGCAGGGGAAGCGUGAGCGCUUGACGCAAACUCUCUCCCCUGUGUCCACCACCGGUUGACUGUUUUACCCCUGAAAGAGCGCCUUCGCAGCUGCGCUGGUGUCGGGGAGCACUGGAGCUCCCUCUACGGCCAAAGUUGCUGCCCCCUUUUUUAAAACCCAACACCAACCCAACACUCUGAAACAAAAGAGGCUGCAGCGGCUUGCAGCUCCCUCUCAUGGGAGAGCUGCUGAGCUGCUGCCCUCACACCUAGUUGUAAUACUGUACAACUUUCAGCAACGGAUAUCUUGGCUCCCACAACGAUGAAGAACGCAGCGAAAUGCGAUACGUCUUGCGACUUGCAGAAUCCAGUGAAUCAUCAAAACUUUGAACGCACCUUGCGCUUCUGGGUAUGCCCAGGAGCAUGCUUGUCGGAGUGUCUGUUAACCCCCCUCACCCCUCCCUUCUGGUGCACCUGCUGUACUCGAGUGGCCUGCGGUGGUCUUUGAGCGCUCUUGCUGUGAGGCAAUGUGCGUCUAAGAGGAGUCUGACUGGCCCUGACUUGACACAAAACUUUCUCUCUGAUGUGACGGUGCGGUAGGAGUGUCUCUGCGUGAGCAGUGUGCUCUGGCUUCUCUCAGCAUUCGAGGGUGUGUGUCAGACUAGUGGCCCUCCUGAGUUCAGAGAGACACGUACUUAACAAACACACACACACACACUUAACAUCGGACCUCCGAUCAAGUAAGAGGACCCGCUGAAUUUAAGCAUAUAACUAAGCGGAGGAAAAGAAACUAACGAGGAUUCCCCUAGUAACGGCGAGUGAAGCGGGAAGAGCUCAAAGUGGUAAUCGCUUCGGCGAAUUGUAGUCUACAGAGGUGUGACCAUUUAGGCACCCGGUCCAAGUCCCUUGGAAGAGGGCGUCAUGGAGGGUGACAACCCCGUCUGUGGCUGGACUGCCUGGAGUACGGUCCGCUCUCAAUGAGUCGAGUUGCUUGGGAUUGCAGCUCAAAGUGGGUGGUAAAUUCCAUCUAAAGCUAAAUAUGGGUGGGAGACCGAUAGCGAACAAGUACCGUGAGGGAAAGAUGAAAAGAACUUUGAAAAGAGAGUCAAACAGUGCUUGAAAUUGCUGAAAGGGAACCGAAGUGGACCAGUGUUGGCGGCAGAGGCGUACUUCUCCUGGGCUCUGGCUCAGGGGCGCUGCUCUCUGUCUUGCCUGGUCAGGGCCGGUUCUAUGACCGCAGGACACGUUUGGCCAGGAGGUAGGGUGCUUGCAUCUGAAACUGGCCAUCUUCUGCUGCUGUCUGGACCGAGGCAUUGCGCAAGCAAGGGCCCUGACGAAAUGGUCCUCUUUACCCCGUCUUGAAACACGGACCAAGGAGUCUAACAUAUGUGCGAGUACAAGGGUGUCAAACUCGUGUGCGGAAUGAAAGUGAGAGGGGUGGGAGGGCGCGAGCCCGCACCAUCCGCCGACCAGAACCCUCCGGGGGACAGGUUUGAGUGGGAGCGUAUAUGUUGGGACCCGAAAGAUGGUGAACUAUGCUUGAGUAGGGCGAAGCCAGGGGAAACUCUGGUGGAGGCUCGUAGCGAUUCUGACGUGCAAAUCGAUCGUCGAACUUGGGUAUAGGGGCGAAAGACUAAUCGAACCAUCUAGUAGCUGGUUCCUC
rnacentral:misc_RNA from 1 species